GAGUGUCUGUGCAUGAGCAGCGAGACGGCGGCUAAGGCUAGCGUGGAAGAGGUUCAUUGAUGACAGCCAAGGGUUCAUGCUCGGAAACGACUACAUCUUGCUCCAUGUUGUCGGCUCAGCUAGAGUCCUUAAUCAUGAGGAGAUGGGACACGUCGAUUGUUAGAGUACACUUGACAGGGGUGAUCGACGCUGACUAGCGCAGCCGGUGGGCGUUGUGCUCUUCAACCACUCAGAGGCGGACUUCUCCGUGAAGCUGGUGGCCAUGUCGCAUAGAUG